rnacentral:piRNA from 1 species
GUCCCAGGCUGGGAUGUGUCUGCACAUUGGU